UACGUAGGGUGCGAGCGUUGCCCGGAAUUAUUGGGCGUAAAGGGCGCGUAGGCGGCCUGGCAAGUGGAAGGUGAAAUCCCUCGGCUUAACCGAGGAACUGCCCUCCAAACUGCUUGGCUUGAGUCCGGGAGAGGUGAGUGGAAUUCCCAGUGUAGCGGUGAAAUGCGUAGAUAUUGGGAGGAACACCAGUGGCGAAGGCGGCUUACUGGACCGGUUCUGACGCUGAGGCGCGAAAGCGUGGGGAGCAAACGGG
rnacentral:rRNA from 1 species